rnacentral:lncRNA from 1 species
UGAAAAACAUUCAUGUGUUACUGUGAACAUUCCCUUUUCUCUUAACACAAAUUCCAACUAAAAAUCUUCUUAUGUACCCAUAGGACAAUCUUUAUUUUAAAAACUAAGUAGCCAUGAGAAAAACUUAGGUACAAGUCCUAAUCGCCAAUGUUAAUACUGGUUAACUUUUUUCCCUUUUGGCAAAAUGUAAAUUUAGUCUAAUGUUGUUUGGGGACAACUUUAUUGCUGCACAAGUUGAAACAAAAGUUUGUUGUUAUCUAUGGAAAAAUAUUAUGUUCUCUUCAAGUACAGAUAGCUCAGUAUCAAAUUAACACGUUUAAAGAAAUUUGAGUUUAAAGAUUUCUUGGAGUAAGACAUAUAAAAUGUGAAAG